CUUGGACUCAUUGCUAAUCUGCAAGAGGUGCUUGCUUGCCUCGUCCAGCUGGCAGCCUUCCCAGGUGCUGCAUCCAAGUCCCCAGGCAGCAGUCUCACAUCACAUCACCCCAGGGAAGGACCUGUGCUGUGCACAGUGCUCCCCACAGCAAGGGAGGAGACUGCAAAGAAGCUUUCCAGGAAGAGAAAGGAGGUGUGGGAAAGGUGUGGAUAGAAACAAACCAGCAGCCAGAGCAGGCUUGUGAAUUUGCUGAAGCUGUAAUCUGAGAUGUAUGCAUGAUGUGCCAAAUCAGCUUCUGGACUCUGAGACCAAAUUGUGACUGUGCCCAGGCGAAAACAAAAAUAAAACUUAAAGUGUACUUGAAGCCAGCUUGAAGGCAAUAUUAUCACAAAAUCAUGGAAAGUGAAGGGGUUGGGAGGGACCUUAAGGACCAUCCAUUCCCAACCCUGCUGCCAUGGACAGGGACAUCUUCCACUGGACCAGGCUGCUCAAGGCUCAUCCAGAGUGCCCCUGGACACUGCCAGGGAUGGGGAAUCCACGACUUCUGUGGGCAACUCAUUCCAGCGUCUCACCACACUCACAGUAAAGAACUUCUUCCUAAUCCCUGACCUAAAUUUUGCCUCUUUCGAUUUCUAUCCGUUACUCCUUGUCCUAUAACUACAGUUAUCGGCGAAGAGCAUAUUAAAAAAAAAUACUUUUUAAUUGUUACAUUGUUUAUUGCCAACGGGUUUAUACAUUAUUUGUGCGGGUCGUUCCCCCUUUUAACAGGAGAAUGGAAGGGAGCAGCGCUGCGCAGGCACUUCACAGCUCCCGGAACAGGCUGGG